CUAUCAACAUGACAACCGCUCUAGGAAAAAGACAGUCGAUAGAGGUUGUUAAAACGGACACAAAUCAGCUAAAGAUGCCCAGCUGCAAUAUUAAGAAGCGCUGCUAACCGCCAGUGUUAUCUGGGGUGUGCAGAGAGGAGGAACGCGGGGACCCAGGGCGAUGCCCACCCGAUGCGAUCGGCGCUGACUCCCCGCCAGCAGCCGCAGCUCGCUCUUUUUAUAUGGAAAACCGGCAACAUUUCGGAAAGCAGCUUUAAAACUUUGACUUAUAUUUUACAUGCUAAAUAACGGGGAGAAUGGCUGCAGCGUUACAGAAAGCUUCAACCCUGCAAAUAUUUGAAUGGGGCUUUUUUGUAAAGUAGAGCAGCUGUCAGUCAGCUGGCUUUGACAGCCUGCCACAAUUUUGUCAUUUAAUAGUGGGUGUUAGGCUAAGUGCAAAACACUCUGGCAAACAGAUGUCAAACCUACAUCUCAUAUAAAUGGGGGUUGUAAAAUUGAGUUUUAACCCACAUAUAGGGUUUUUAAAAGCGGUGCCAGUGUGUAAACUGUAUACAAAAUAGAGAUACUGACAAUC